ACAUCGCCUGUAGAAUCAUUACAGGUAGAGUCUGCCCAAUGACUUAUUUGAAUGGCCGCAGUAUCUUGACUGUGCCAAGGUAGCACAAUCAUUUGCCAUUUAAUUGUUGGCCUGUAUAAAUGAACUGAUGAGAAGACAUCUGUCUCUGCAUUAGAAUUUAAUUUACAACAAAGGUUAAAAUACCUUUCUUUAUUAGGAAGACGACAAGACCCUACAAAGCUUCAACCUAAUUUAACCUUAAUUAAAAUAGGUUUUUACUGGGGCGGUAAAAUUAUAUCCUUGUCUAAUUUUAAAUUAACAUUUCAAAUGAUUCAAACUCACUCCACUAAGAAACAACCUCAGCUACUUCAGGGACAACAGCGUAAUAUUCUUCAAGAGUCCCAAUCAACAAGAAUGUUUUCGACCUCGAUGUUGAAUUGAGGUACCGAUAUAGAGCAUAAACUAUUUCUGGAAAGUCUGUUCGACUUACAAACCCUCACGUGAUCUGAGUUCAGACCG
rnacentral:rRNA from 1 species